AUAGCCGGCCUAGCUCAAUUGGUAGAGCAUCUGACUUUUAAUCAGAGGGUCAGAGGUUCGAAUCCUCUAUGGCU
rnacentral:tRNA from 1 species